rnacentral:tRNA from 1 species
UAGUAAAAUAGCACAUCACACUGCCUUGUCAGGACAGAAUUGUAGGUUAAAAUCCUGCGGGCCCUG